UUUGGAAAGGAAAAAAAAAUUGCAGGAAAGAACCCUUGGUUGUUUUCGUUGUUUUUGGGAAGAACCUCUCAUGAAGGAUAGUUACGAAUAGGAGAGGAGAAGAGGAGACAGAUUGUGAGGGAAAGGAGCUUGCUUGAAGAUGGGUAUGAUUUGGAGAGAAUUCGGGAGUCACAGGAGUUUGUUAACACUGCAAAUAGAUGGUUUGAUGGGUCGAUCAGCAAUGACGUAUUUUCAGUUAGCAGUGUUUUAACAUACUCUCGCGAAGCCGUCUGACCCAGGGGAAAUUAAAACACCAACAUCAUUUAUAUAUAUAUAUAUACGAACGCAUAUUGGCAUAUGAAAGAUUUUUCAAGGUUUUCAGUGUUCCACGGCGGUGUUUUUGCGACGACGGUGAUCUGUUUUCAAGCUUCCUACCAAAGUUUCCACUAUGAAUCUUCGUCUUUAUAAGGGUAUCUUUGCCAAUAUUCCAACAACAUUGCAAGAUGGAAAACAUGUAGGGGAAAGUGGAAGGAAAUUGAGGGAGGAUUUGGCAAAAAGUUAUGUAACGACUCGAAAGUCAGUGGAGUCGGAAACGGUCUGAUAGAAUUAGUGAAUAUUAUUUAUUAAUAUUUACAAAAGUAUUACAGUAUUAUUGAGAUUUGGUUUAAUAAAAUUAAUUAUUUGUAAAGUUAUAUAAGGUACAACUGUAUCGGUUCUAAAGUCGAUAGUUUUGAAAAUUAAGGUAUCGGAACCUUGUUUUCCAUAAA